rnacentral:rRNA from 1 species
CAGGCUUAACACAUGCAAGUCGAGGGGCAGCAUGGUCUUAGCUUGCUAAGGCCGAUGGCGACCGGCGCACGGGUGAGUAACACGUAUCCAACCUGCCGUCUACUCUUGGACAGCCUUCUGAAAGGAAGAUUAAUACAAGAUGGCAUCAUGAGUCCGCAUGUUCACAUGAUUAAAGGUAUUCCGGUAGACGAUGGGGAUGCGUUCCAUUAGAUAGUAGGCGGGGUAACGGCCCACCUAGUCUUCGAUGGAUAGGGGUUCUGAGAGGAAGGUCCCCCACAUUGGAACUGAGACACGGUCCAAACUCCUACGGGAGGCAGCAGUGAGGAAUAUUGGUCAAUGGGCGAGAGCCUGAACCAGCCAAGUAGCGUGAAGGAUGACUGCCCUAUGGGUUGUAAACUUCUUUUAUAAAGGAAUAAAGUCGGGUAUGGAUACCCGUUUGCAUGUACUUUAUGAAUAAGGAUCGGCUAACUCCGUGCCAGCAGCCGCGGUAAUACGGAGGAUCCGAGCGUUAUCCGGAUUUAUUGGGUUUAAAGGGAGCGUAGAUGGAUGUUUAAGUCAGUUGUGAAAGUUUGCGGCUCAACCGUAAAAUUGCAGUUGAUACUGGAUAUCUUGAGUGCAGUUGAGGCAGGCGGAAUUCGUGGUGUAGCGGUGAAAUGCUUAGAUAUCACGAAGAACUCCGAUUGCGAAGGCAGCCUGCUAAGCUGCAACUGACAUUGAGGCUCGAAAGUGUGGGUAUCAAACAGGAUUAGAUACCCUGGUAGUCCACACGGUAAACGAUGAAUACUCGCUGUUUGUGAUAUACUGCAAGCGGCCAAGCGAAAGCGUUAAGUAUUCCACCUGGGGAGUACGCCGGCAACGGUGAAACUCAAAGGAAUUGACGGGGGCCCGCACAAGCGGAGGAACAUGUGGUUUAAUUCGAUGAUACGCGAGGAACCUUACCCGGGCUUAAAUUGCAGAUGAAUUACGGUGAAAGCCGUAAGCCGCAAGGCAUCUGUGAAGGUGCUGCAUGGUUGUCGUCAGCUCGUGCCGUGAGGUGUCGGCUUAAGUGCCAUAACGAGCGCAACCCUUGUUGUCAGUUACUAACAGGUUCCGCUGAGGACUCUGACAAGACUGCCAUCGUAAGAUGUGAGGAAGGUGGGGAUGACGUCAAAUCAGCACGGCCCUUACGUCCGGGGCUACACACGUGUUACAAUGGGGGGUACAGAGGGCCGCUACCACGCGAGUGGAUGCCAAUCCCCAAAACCUCUCUCAGUUCGGACUGGAGUCUGCAACCCGACUCCACGAAGCUGGAUUCGCUAGUAAUCGCGCAUCAGCCACGGCGCGGUGAAUACGUUCCCGGGCCUUGUACACACCGCCCGUCAAGCCAUGGGAGCCGGGGGUACCUGAAGUGCGUAACCGCGAGGAGCGCCCUAGGGUAAAACUGGUGACUGGGGCUAAGU